AGCAGUGUGGCUCAGUGGAAAGAGCCCGGGCUUGGGAGUCAGAGAUCAUGGGUUCAAUUCCCGGCUCUGCCA
rfam:Ornithorhynchus anatinus chromosome 2, whole genome shotgun sequence.